AGCGAACGCUGGCGGCAGGCCUAACACAUGCAAGUCGAACGAAGUCUUCGGACUUAGUGGCGGACGGGUGAGUAACACGUGGGAACGUACCUUUUGGUUCGGAACAACUCAGGGAAACUUGAGCUAAUACCGGGUGAGCCCUUAGGGGGAAAGAUUUAUCGCCGAAAGAGCGGCCCGCGUUAGAUUAGCUAGUUGGUGAGGUAAAGGCUCACCAAGGCUACGAUCUAUAGCUGGUCUGAGAGGAUGAUCAGCCACACUGGGACUGAGACACGGCCCAGACUCCUACGGGAGGCAGCAGUGAGGAAUCUUGCGCAAUGGGCGAAAGCCUGACGCAGCCAUGCCGCGUGAAUGAUGAAGGUCUUAGGAUUGUAAAAUUCUUUUACCAGGGACGAUAAUGACGGUACCUGGAGAAAAAGCCCCGGCUAACUUCGUGCCAGCAGCCGCCGUAACAC
rnacentral:rRNA from 1 species